rnacentral:tRNA from 1 species
GGGGUUGUGGCUCAGCGGUAGAGCACUCAUCUCGCACAAGUGCGGCCCUGGGUUCAAUCCUCAGCACCA